AUAUCAACCGAAUCGAAUAAUCGAACUGAACCGAAAUGAGUUCGAUUUUUUUGGUUCGGUUUUUCGAUUAAUUCGGUUAAGAUAGUUCGGUUAGUAAAAUUAUUUCAUUUGGUUUCGGUCAGAAAAAUUUCUAAUCGAACUAAUCGAACUAAUCGAAGGGCAUUAUAGACAUAUUACAUGAAAAAAAAUCCUAAACCUAAAUGGUAAUGUCAUCUCUUUGUUUGGUUCCUCUUCUACCGUCCCAUCUCCACUCUCCAAACUCUCCAAUCUCCACCGUAUUCUCUUCCCCUUCUCUCAUGUGUCCUGUCUCCACUCUUCAGUCUCCAGUCUCUACCCUUUUCUCUUCCCCUUCUCUCAUCUUUAGUAAGUUGCUGCCAUCCUUCACCCUUCUCACAUCAAGAACCUUCUCAAGAGGGUCGACUCAAAGUUAAUAUUAUCUUCAGGGAAGCUAAUAGCGCAACAGAUGCAUUGGCUAGAACAGGUGCUACUUCAGAGUUUGAGUUUAUCUUGUACCGUUAAGAACCAACCUUUGUUUCUUUGGUACUUUGUACCAAGAUGUGGGAACAUUGUAGCUGUCUAUGUUUUUGUUAAUGCAAAUCCUUAUUUAACAAAAAAAAAGAAGUACUCUAAGCAAUAGAAACUCUUACUCUAUUCACUUUUUAAA